rnacentral:rRNA from 1 species
UACGUAGGGUGCGAGCGUUAAUCGGAAUUACUGGGCGUAAAGCGUGCGUAGGCGGUUCGCUGUGUCCGAUGUGAAAGCCCCGGGCUUAACCUGGGAAUGGCAUUGGAAACUGGCGGGCUUGAGUGCGGCAGAGGGGGGUGGAAUUCCGCGUGUAGCAGUGAAAUGCGUAGAGAUGCGGAGGAACACCGAUGGCGAAGGCGGCCCCCUGGGCAGACACUGACGCUCAGGCACGAAAGCGUGGGGAGCAAACAGG